rnacentral:rRNA from 1 species
AACGAACGCUGGCGGCAGGCCUAACACAUGCAAGUCGAGCGCCCUUUCGGGGGAGCGGCGGACGGGUGAGUAACGCGUGGGAAUAUGCCCUUCUCUACGGAAUAGCCUCGGGAAACUGAGAGUAAUACCGUAUACGCCCUGUGGGGGAAAGAUUUAUCGGGGAAGGAUUAGCCCGCGUUGGAUUAAGUAGUUGGUGGGGUAAUGGCCUACCAAGCCGACGAUCCAUAGCUGGUUUGAGAGGAUGAUCAGCCACACUGGGACUGAGACACGGCCCAGACUCCUACGGGAGGCAGCAGUGGGGAAUCUUAGACAAUGGGGGCAACCCUGAUCUAGCCAUGCCGCGUGAGUGAUGAAGGCCUUAGGGUUGUAAAGCUCUUUCAGCUGGGAAGAUAAUGACGGUACCAGCAGAAGAAGCCCCGGCUAACUCCGUG